GACGAACGCUGGCGGCGUGCUUAACACAUGCAAGUCGAACGGAGUGGCGAACGGGUGAGUAACACGUGGGAGAUCUGCCUUGGACUUCGGAUUAAGCUUGGGAAAAGGGGGUAAAUACCCGUAAGUGCAAGAUGGGCGGGGGGCGUAUCAGCUUGUUGGUGGGGUAAUGGCCUACCAAGGCGUCGACGGGUAGCCGGCCUGAGAGGGUGUACAGGCACAUGGGUACUGCGGUACGGCCCAGUCUCCAACGUGGGGCAGCAGUGGGGAAUAUUGCACAAUGGUGGGGAGUCUGAUGCAGCGACGCCGCGUUGGGGAUGCACGCCUUCGGGUUGUAAACUCCGUUCGACAGAGACGCGUUACCUGUAUAAGAAGCACCGGCUAACUCCGUGCCAGCAGCCGCGGUAAUAC
rnacentral:rRNA from 1 species